rnacentral:rRNA from 1 species
UACGUAGGUGGCAAGCGUUGUCCGGAUUUACUGGGUGUAAAGGGCGUGCAGCCGGGCUGACAAGUCAGAUGUGAAAUCCCGCGGCUCAACCGCGGAACUGCAUUUGAAACUGUCAGUCUUGAGUACCGGAGAGGUCAUCGGAAUUCCUUGUGUAGCGGUGAAAUGCGUAGAUAUAAGGAAGAACACCGGUGGCGAAGGCGGAUGACUGGACGGCAACUGACGGUGAGGCGCGAAAGCGUGGGGAGCAAACAGG